AUGAACGCUGGCGGCGUGCCUAAUACAUGCAAGUCGAGCGAACGGACGAGAAGCUUGCUUCUCUGAUGUUAGCGGCGGACGGGUGAGUAACACGUGGAUAACCUACCUAUAAGACUGGGAUAACUUCGGGAAACCGGAGCCAAUACCGGAUAAUAUUUUGAACCGCAUGGUUCAAAAGUGAAAGACGGUCUUGCUGUCACUUAUAGAUGGAUCCGCGCUGCAUUAGCUAGUUGGUAAGGUAACGGCUUACCAAGGCAACGAUGCAUAGCCGACCUGAGAGGGUGAUCGGCCACACUGGAACUGAGACACGGUCCAGACUCCUACGGGAGGCAGCAGUAGGGAAUCUUCCGCAAUGGGCGAAAGCCUGACGGAGCAACGCCGCGUGAGUGAUGAAGGUCUUCGGAUCGUAAAACUCUGUUAUUAGGGAAGAACAUAUGUGUAAGUAACUGUGCACAUCUUGACGGUACCUAAUCAGAAAGCCACGGCUAACUACGUG
rnacentral:rRNA from 1 species